UUUGGUAGCCCGACGAGGUGGCUUCACUUGACAUGGUUUCUUCUCCUCUUGUUCAUGCUCUUGCGCUGGUUCUCUGCCUGCUCCUCUCGCUCCUGUUGCUCUUGCUGUGGCUUUGUGUGAUAAGAUCAUGAACAAAGGGGCUGUGCACCAUAUAAAUGUCCACAAUUGCAAUGCGCUUUAACAUUCAAUCCAUGUCUAAUUUCUUCAACGGAAGUUGAAACGCAGACGUGGUCAUGUGUGUUCCCUUCUGAUGUGUCCCUUGUGACAAUUCACAUUCUUGUCGGCAGUAUUAAAAGCCAUCAAAGAUCACUUGGC
rnacentral:lncRNA from 1 species